rfam:Pseudallescheria apiosperma strain IHEM 14462 SEQ_SAPIO_0077, whole genome shotgun sequence.
UCUUCCUUGGUCUAGUGGUCAGGAUACCUGCUUGUCAUGGAGCAAUUCGCAGGUGGCCGGGGUUCGAUUCCCCGAGGGAGAG